UGGGGAAUAUUGCACAAUGGGCGAAAGCCUGAUGCAGCAACGCCGCGUGAGUGAUGAAGGUCUUCGGAUUGUAAAGCUCUGUCUUUUGGGACGAUAAUGACGGUACCAAAGGAGGAAGCCACGGCUAACUACGUGCCAGCAGCCGCGGUAAUACGUAGGUGGCGAGCGUUGUCCGGAUUUACUGGGCGUAAAGGGUGCGUAGGCGGAUGUUUAAGUGAGAUGUGAAAUACCCGGGCUUAACUUGGGUGCUGCAUUUCAAACUGGAUAUCUAGAGUGCAGGAGAGGAGAAUGGAAUUCCUAGUGUAGCCGUGAAAUGCGUAGAGAUUAGGAAGAACACCAGUGGCGAAGGCGAUUCUCUGGACUGUAACUGACGCUGAGGCACGAAAGCGUGGGUAGCAAACAGGAUUAGAUACCCUGGUAGUCCACGCCGUAAACGAUGAGUACUAGGUGUAGGAGGUAUCGACCCCUUCUGUGCCGCAGUAAACACAUUAAGUACUCCGCCUGGGAAGUACGAUCGCAAGAUUAAAAC
rnacentral:rRNA from 1 species